GAUGAACGCUAGCGGCAGGCUUAAUACAUGCAAGUCAAGGGGGUAGCAAUACAACCGGCGCACGGGUGAGUAACGCGUACACAACAUACCAUAUACUGGAGUAUAGCUUUGGGAAACUGAAGGUAAUCCUCCAUAACAUUGCGAGAGGGCAUCUGAUUGCAAUUAAAGUUUCGGCGGUAUAUGAUUGGUGUGCGUUUGAUUAGCUAGUUGGUAGGGUAACGGCCUACCAAGGCGACGAUCAAUAGCUGGCGUGAGAGCGCGACCAGCCACACUGGAACUGAGACACGGUCCAGACUCCUACGGGAGGCAGCAGUAGGGAAUAUUGGACAAUGAGGAAACGUACUGAUCCAGCCAUGCCGCCGUGAUAGAUGAAGG
rnacentral:rRNA from 1 species